GGAGGGCAAGAUGGCAGCGUUACAAUCAUCCUGAGAAGCCAAGUCACAACCUCACUUUCCAACUGAUGUUGUGGCUGUGGGAUAAAUAGGGAAAGCUAACCAUUGAUGCCAGACAGAGCAAUGAACGUCUAUUUCCAAAAAUGCACCCAGAUUUCAUAAUAAAGACUACUGGUCGAGGUGAGAGCAUCUGAAGUAGAAUUUGGAAGCUUUCGUUUUGCUUGCUAUAAAAUGGAGAUAACAUUUCUCCUCCUUCCCUUACCACUAUAUGAAAUCUUAAUAUCCAGGAGGAUAACCAACACCUAUGACUUUCAUGCCAUGGAGGAAGCAUUGGGUAAGGAAAGUUUGAAGAUGGAGUCAGAGGAUCAGAGGAGGCACCUACCAGUCAAUGUUGUAGAUCUUCCAUGAUUUCCUUUCUGUAUAUCCUUCAUAGACAUUUCUCUCAAGAAACAUCUUGCACAUCUAACCCCAUCUUGCUAUCGGCUUCUUGGAAGACCUGAAUUAACAUGACCAGUUUGUGAUGCGGCAACUCCUAACUGAAACAGCUGGUCGUUCUUCCACAUUUGUCUAAGACUGACCUCAUGAAAUUCAAUAAAGAUACACUUACAAAAUGUCCAAUUAUUAAUAGUUAUUCCUUUAUAAACUUUAUAUAAAUUGCAAAUUAGGAAAAAUAUCCUUUGUUCAACCAGGCAUUCUUUUAUUUUUAAUAAUAUGCAUGAUUUGAAAAAUACCACAUUCUCAUAAAAAUGUAAUCUUCAGAUUCAUGUGCUUACAAUAAGCAAUCAACAAAUCUUUUCUGAGUGCCUGCUUUCUGAGAGGCAAAAAGCCCUGGGGGAAAAAAAAUUGACAAGACAAAGAGUGUUAUCUUCAAGAAGCGUGUUUUGUACUAUGGAGAAAAUGAAUUGACAAAUAUAAUCAACAAUAUUAUGAGGUUAA